ACAGCGUCGAUGGGAUCCCCCGAACUGUCGAGCUUCUUGAUUAGUGCCACCAGUGUUCUCCAUCCAACGGCUUGGAGGCUCGUCAAGUAAGCCCCAAUGCUCUCUGCCUGUGCAGACCCGCCUUUGUAGCAGAAAUAAUGUAGAACUCAAACCAAUGAAGCUUCAUCUUUGUCACCAAAGCGCCUACCCUCAACAUGAAAGUCGUUCAUUGGACAAACUUGUUCUUCAUCAUGUCUGUUCUUCAGAUUGACUCUACUAAUCAUAACCAACAGAUUGCCACAAAACCCAAGAAUGGCACAAUCCAGAGCUCACUCUAGGCAACUAGCUAAUUGUCUCUCACCUUCGUCGAAUCCGUCUGAGAUAGUCUCGAUGCCGACGGAGUCGUUUGGGGCAGCGUGCAUGGAUUUGGCAACGAAGACGGUGGUCGCAAGAGUCACUCCGACACCUCUGGAGACUAAGCGCUUGGCGAACUGGAGCAUCGGACUGAUGUGGCCCUGCGCAGGGUAAGGGAGGACCAGGACACGAGCUUUGCUGGGUCUCUUCACCUCCUCCUUCUCCUCCUCCAUGACUAACUCUGGACUGUGCACGGUAAGAAGAUAUAGUGAAGUUGCUAACUUCUCUACCGAUAUUGGUUGAGACUUAUCUUUCAGAUUGCUGCCAUUACGUAGUGACAAAGAAGUGUCUUGUAUUCUGUUUUGAGUUCUUUUUCGGCGGGCGCCGCCGGAGCACUUGUUGAGCAAUCAAACGAGAAAUUCAUAGAUUCCAAUGCAAUUUUUUAUUUUGGCA